CUCUCCCAGGACUAUCUCCAUCAGUCUCUGGAAUGUUGCUAGAGCAUUCUUAAGACCAAAUGGCAUAACAUUGAAUUCAUAUAUACCUGCAGAAGUGAUAAAAGCAGUUUUGGCCUUACAGUCAGGAUCCAUUGCCACCUGCCAGUAUCCACUGUUUAGGUCAAUGGUGGAGAAAAUUGCUGCUCCUGAGAGUGAUUCCAAGAUUUCAGUGAUAUUGGGAAGAGGGUACUAAGACCACAGGUGAAGCCCAACUAGAGUGAGAUGGCUCAAUUAUUCCUUGGCUCAACAUUUCAUCAAGCUGCUUUUCCAUUGCAAGUUGCUUAACUAGGGAGAGUCGAUAGGGUCUUUGUUUAAUUGGUACCUGACAUGUGGAGUAAAUGUGGUGUUGUAGAACAUCAGUCUGUCCUGUACCAGGGUUAUUAUCGUAAACGAAAACUAUCACGAAAACUGAAACUAUUAGUGAAAAAACAUUUUCGUUAACUGAAAUAAAAUAAAAACGAAGGUUUCUAAAAAAAACUAAAACUAAACUAUAAUGUGGACCUGUAAAACUAACUAAAACUAACUAUAAUUUAGGAAAACAAAACUUGCGUUUUCGUUUUUUAAAUGUUAUUGGAUCAGCAGUUGAACACAGAGUCACCCAUAUUACCGGAUCAUAAGCAAAUGAGCAGACGUUGCUGAAUCAUUAAUGACCAAUAGGUGGCAGUCUAUUAGAGCUCCUGACCUGCACAGCAGCGUCACGUGAUGUGUAUGACGCUGUCAGGGCACUGGAUCCCUGCCCCCGAGCCAACAGUUCGGUUCAGAAAACAUCAUCUUGUUGCUAACGGCUAGUUUAGUAAGACAAUUUGUUUCUGCUGGCAAACCAUUACAAUAACUGAAAAAGGCUUAAUUAUCUCUACACGGAAGCAUUAAAACGUUAAAUAUGCCUGAAAACGCUAACACCAACCACUUGCUUGGCAGUGUUAGCUGACGCUUUUUGGUUGCUAUGAUACAGAAUGUCCGCUUAACUAAUCUGAAACUAUUAUAUGCCUUUGCGGAUAAUCAACAAAUAAUAUUAUAUAUUAAUAUUUAGUCAACAAAUAAGCAUUUUAUGUUAGUACAGCGAUCUCUUCUGGUACAGAAAUGGACACUCAUAGGCAGAACAUUAAACUUUGCAUUGAUUUUCAGUUGUUGUGCACAGACAUAAGUUUGUACAAGUAAGAUGUGCUGAAAUAAAUUUACUGUGCUGAAAUAAACAUAUGCUGGGUUGUUUCAAUGCAAUGCUGGGUUGUUUUAACUCAUGUUUGUGUUAACAACCCAGCAUAUGAUUAUUUAUAACCAAACAUGUAUAUUUAUACAUGUAUAUUAUAUUUACCCAAAUAACACAACAGAAUUUAGAGUGUUGGUUGGUGUGGUAUUUGUCCCGGCCUUUGAUUGAUAGUACUAAAUAAACAAAACUUUUUUUAAAUCCUCUUAUUCUCAUCGUAUUUUCAACAUUUCCAGAUUUGGCAAGGUGUAUGUACACAACCAUGAUAUUAUGCUAAAGACUAAAACUAUACUAAAACUAAAUAAAAACUAAAAGUAAUGAUUUUUGAAAAAUAGAAACGAAAUCAAAACUAUUUAUGCACCACUAAAAAUAACUAAAACUAAACUGAAAUAAAAUAACACAUUACAAAACAAAAUAAAAACUAAUAUUUUUUUUAAAACUAUAAUAACCCUGUCCUGUACGGAGUGUACACACUUGAGGGUUACUUGAAAGAAUAUGAAGCAAUCUCUGCUUCCCAUCUGGAGGUAAGUGCGCUGCAUCCACUGCAUUUCUGAUUAAUGCCUCAUCAGUUGAAAUAUCAGGUUGUAAAGACAGCAGAGGACCUGAUGGAGGAACAGCAGUUAAUAGAGAAAGGCUUUGUUUGUUUCCCUUGAGUUGUGGUCUUUCUUUCCAGGGUUGUGAGUCAACAACGGGUGGAACACUUGCAUUUCCUAGUUGAAAAGGAUAGUCUUCAGAAGGGGCAAUCUUGAAAGAAUAUUUUUGGUCAAUCACAUUGAUUUGCAGACCACUGAAGAAGAUGAAAUCCAAACCCAGGACCACAGCAUAAGCUAGGGCGUGGGUUGAAAGAACGGCAGCAGGUAAAGAGGACCAAGGGACCAUGGUUGGAGUUGGUCUAAUGAGAUAAACUGCCUCAUAAGGUUCUCAUUGAUCAGGGUAUAGCUUGCACCAGUAUCCACAAUAGCCUUACCCGCCCAGGCAUCAAUACGGAUGGGUACAAUUAGUUGUUGAGCAACAGAGCUAUUGGAAGGUUGACCACUUGAUUUAGAGUGAUGAUGAUGCUUUCCACUGUUGGGGUACUGUGAACCAGACGUCUGAGGUGACUGUGGAGAGGUAUAAUGGGGACAUUUACCUGGUGGAUGCUGUCCUCUACAUCUCCAACACUGAACUGGCAUUCUUUCAGUAGGCCGAUUUAAAGGAGGUCUUUGUGAGGGUGAGGACUGUUUAAUGCCUAUACGGUCUUCAUAGCGAAGCUGUUGCUCAAAGUCUUUCUCGAGCUGGUGACCCAGUUUAACCAGUUCUUCCACUGUAGUCACUCAGCUACGUAGUUGGCUGGCGAGAGAGCUCUGUAGGAAAAGGAAAAAUCUCUAAUUGUUUCUGUGUCUCCUUGAACUUUAGUACGAACACGUUCUGCUAGCUCGUCCUCAUAGUCCUCAGAAAGGAAAGCAGUUAAGAAUGCAGCCUCAAAACCAUUCCAGGUGCUGGAAGAGAAGCUGGAGCAGACACCCCAGUUACAGGAGUGGAAUCAGAUGGCGGAGAUGCUGAAACGGUAGAACUAGGCACUGGUGGUACUGAUACACUGGACUUCAGUUGCUCCUCACUUGUCUUCUUGACACUUUGAAAAACUUUUUCAACUUUACCGGUUAUCUAGUUCAGACUCCUCUUGUUGCCUGGCAGUGGAAAACAGAGUGAAGAUCUGUCUUCUAUUGUCCUCCACUUGUGUAGCAAGAUCAACAAUCUGGCUCUUGUGGUGAGAAGCAGCAGCCUUCACUACCUUGUUGGCAGGGUAUUUGGCAAAGCAUGCUGAGACACUGAAGAAGGGGUUUCAGCUCCUGAUGUGCUACAUAGUUGCAUAUCAUCCACUUGAGAUACCCAGGUGUGCGUUUGCACAGAAGCACCACCAGUUGGAGCAGGAGGAGACAUAUGCACAUGAGUUCUUGGAAAGGCUGAGCCAUGUGGUGUUGAAAUAUUAUAAAAUGCAGGGGUAAGAGUAAGAGGUCUUGGGGGAGGUAGCAAUGGUUGCUGGGCAGGUCUCCAUACUGGAGUGGAGAUGUCUGGUGGAGAUUCCAUUUCCACAAAGGUAGAUGGGGAAGGAGGAGUUGCAGCCAUGUUUGUUGUGUGUGUGUGUUAACCAAA